AUCCAAAGCAUCAUAUUACCCUUUUCUUCCACAAAAGGAGCAUCUAGCUCGUCGUAAGUCAACAACGUAGAAUUACACUGCUCCGCCGCAAUCGUGCCGUCGCAGAGAUUUUUCAACUGGGAGUCGAAGUCGCAAGCUCAAAUCCACCAAUACGGGUUGCCCGCUGCUUAGGAAGUUGGGGAUUCACCAAGUGCGACAUGCAUCUGAUCCCACCUCGACCAUGGCCAUUUUGGAGUCGCGUCGGAAUCCACCGACAGAUUUCUGCCAGAUUUUACCUCUAUACUUUAGCCGUAAUUUAGACUGCAAAUUCGGCCUUGAUAAGCAUUGUGGUUUUGGGUGGCUUUAAUUGGUGAUUUUGACGGUUUGCUGUAAAGUUAAACCAUUGUUUCCAAAUUAAAAGAUCCUGCCAUUUUGAUCGUAAAAGCAAAGUUUGGGGAAACCAAUGGGAAUACGUGGGUAGACAAUUGGUUGCUGUUGAGAAAAUGGCAUGCAUUUUCCAAUCAUAUUGGAUGUUGAUAUGGUGGUUACAAUACCUUGUUUUUUCCCUCUUCAUUUUUCUAUGCAAAGCGAAGGAUGGCGAUUGGAAACACGGACUGAGCCAAAAUUCGUCGGGAGUAAAGUUCAAAACAUGAUAACUUAUAAACGUUGAGCCCACUUUAUUGGGCUGUUUUAGUUUGAUUUUUGUGUUAACCAUUAAAUAGAGUUACAUGGUUUUUUUUUUUUUUUUUUUUUGUUUGUUUGUUAAGAUUUGGAUAUUUGAGGCCUUAUCAGUAGUUUCACUAUGUUUUUAAUGAUCUGAAUUAAUGAAUUUUUUAUUCUUUUUAUAAUUGUUAGGCAGUUGGUCACCGUUCCGAUUAAUUCCUAGACAUUUGAAAUUAAGAAAGUGCACGUAGCCCGCCUAGAUGCCCGCCCAGUCAGCCUAAACCCUCCUAGGUCGCAACUCUGACAUAGAUAAAACAUCAAUAACUUUCUUUUUUCAUUUUAAUUUUUCAACAAAAUGUAAGAGAUGUGUUGAAUACUUGGAUGAACACUCAUUAUAUGCUUGUUCCUCAUGUUUUCAAUAUGUUCUAGUACUUUAUAAUUUAUAUGUCAUUUUAUUUUGCAAUUUAUGUGUCCCAAUAUAAUUAUGUGUGUGUGUUUUUUUUAAGUAUAAGUAAGCAUUUAUUUAUACAAUAUAUAAUAAAUUUUCUAAAUCCACUUAGGCGCUAGACCCCAACCCGUCAUCCAACUAGCGCCUAACAUCUUUAAGAACAUUGGCUAUGAGUGGAUAAAAAGCAGGUAGCUUGAAAGAAUAACACCGACGAUCGAGCCCUAGUGUCUAAUAUCUUGCUGUUUAAAUGCCUAUUCCAAUUUCACUUCUUUACCUGUAAAUCCUCACUCAAUUAAUGACAUUACAUUGAAAAUUCAUUACAACUGCACUAAAAAAAACCUACUAAACAAAGAACUCUCAAACAGUUCGAAAAUAUCUCAAAUAUACUGCGUUUAAUCAUUUCAAGUACUUCAAUGUCUACUUGGUAUUGGGAUUGGUCUUUCAAUAGUGGGCUUAGUUAUUUAUUUGUCUUGUGUAAGAGCGGAGUCAGCAUGGGGUCAUUGGUUGUGCUUGAUAUUUAUUUAUAUAUGGCAUUUGACUCCUAUAAACAGCUAAGACAAACUAAAUUACAACAUUCUUCUCCUAUAUUUUAUAUUUUCUUCUAUCAUAUUUGUCUUCAUUUUCUCUCUUGUAUGAAAUACUUUAGUUGAAAAGCCUUGACAGUCAUUAACAAUACACCACAGUAUGUUGCAUCCACCCUCGACAAGCCUCUACAAAUGUCAACAUAUGUCAGCAUAUGCCGAUAAGAAUUGGAAGGUGUCUACUAGAUGCUCGAUGAAAUGGCCCAAUAAAGUUUUUUUGGUUGAUAUUAUGACUCCAUUAUUUGAAAAUUUUGACUACGCCACUGAUCUUGGGCGACUACAUUCACAUAAGCAAAGUUUGGUCCUUUAGGCUUAAGAUGGUCUCGGGUUCACUUCCAUCUUUUGCCCAAACCAAAUAAUUUCUCUCUUGGGCUCCCUUGGACCAUUCUAGGUCUUUUGAGCUCAACUUCUUAUGGACUUUUUAUAUUGUAGUGUAUAUUAAAUUUGCAUAUUUAAAUUACUCAACUUAACAAAAAUCAUUAGAUCAAUUGAUCUGACAAUACGGUUAGAGGGACGCUGAUUAAUCAUAUGAUGGUGCCUAUCAAGUUGUUGAAAUAUCUCUGUGAGUCUUUUAGGCCUUCGAAAGAGUAGACUGUCAUGACAAAUCCUCCAACUCGUCCCAUUUUUUUAAAUGAAAAUUGAUUUGACAAUAUUCUAAUAGUUCUUGUUUCAGCAUGCUAGUUAUAUGUGCAAAUUUGAUGUGCAUCAGAGAAUUUUCAAAACUUUUGAGGCCAUCCACCCUAUAUAAAUUUCUCGGAACUUAAUCUCCACUUCUAGAAUUCAAUUUGAACAAAAUUUCCUCCAAAAAAAUUUAUAUUUGCAAUAAAUCUGUCAAGCAUUGUAAAUUUGUAAUGCAUAUUGCAAAAUAAUAAUGUUAUUAAGACACAAGAAAUUAAUACAUUUGUUAAUAAAAGAAAGGUGAACUGCCGAUUUAGUCUCUGAAUUAUCAUUUAAGUGAAAAUUAGGUCCCUAAAUUUUUUUUUUAGAAAAAUAGGUCCCUAAACUCAUUACAAACAACCAAUUUCAUCAUUCCCGUUAAAUUUCAAGCUUUUCCAUCCAAAUUUUUAUUAACUUGGGUUAUGUGACUUGCACAUGACAUAACUUGAAGGAUAAAAUCGUCAUUUCAUCGCUCAUGAAACACAACCAGGAGAACAUCCAUCUCCUCACUUUUCCCGCUCAAAAUUUCCCAAAUUUUGAAAUUUAUAAAGCCUAAUUUGCAACUUUUUAAGCUGGGAAUCUUAUACAAACAUUAAGGGCUUUAGAUUUGUCCAUCCCAAAGCAAAUUUCAUGAAAAUAAUUUCAACUCUCAACAACAAAUUUCAUUAAAAUAAUUCCAUACUAUAUUUUCUCUAUUUUCGAUCCAAAAAUAAAGUCUAAGGCGCCAAUUCCACAUCAUGCCAAUAACAUAACAAAACAAGGUUAGGCAAGCAAAGCAAGUCAUGAACUGCCUUUCUUAAGUCCUAGGCAGUGUUUACUUUGUUAUUAUCUGGAUGGUUUCCCUUGAUGUGGCAGCCAUCAACCUAACCAUAGUCCUACACCCUUCUAUGAAUCCAUUCCUGCAAACAUCAUAGCAUAUAUACAUCCUAUAAAAAACAAGAUCAUCACCCCUCAAUUUUGUCUUCACUAGCAUUGUACUCCCUAGAUUCUGAACCUUGACCUCAUGACAAUAAUCCCAUAAUUUACCAUACUGCUCCUCAAUGCUUACUUGUAUUUUUGCAGCAACAAAUGACUUAGCUUUGUAAACUUGAUCCCGAGUCACAUCAAUGUUGUAGUGCUUUCUCACCAUUUCCAUGAAAUUUAGAACAAAUAUGUUAGGAUUUAUCCUAAGAUCCUCAUCAAACCUUUCAGCCAACCAACUUGAGGUUGCAAACUUUGCCUUUUCCUCUCUACCACAAGUAUGACCUUCGAUGAAUGUCUUAAUCCUAAAAGUCGGCCCUCUUUUAACUCUGCUUGCAUACUUCCAAGGACAAGGUCCUUCUUUAGAUUCACCAUCACAAACCAUCUUAACUCUCACAAUGUCAUUUUUCGCAAGCCUAACCAUCCUUGCACAACUAUUUGCAUAGUACUUUAAAGCUUCUCUACACUCUCCAAUAGUAGGAAAUUCUAAUCCCAAACAAAGUUUUGGAUCUCUUAAGUCAUGAUCUCUAUUAUAUUGUUUAAAUCUUGGGGCUUCUAAACUUUUCGACAAUUUCAACUUAUUUUCUUGCUCAGAUUCAGACCCAUGCAGACUAUCAAGUUUCUCGAUAUCAUACUCAUAUGUUUCCUCCUCACCUGGUUCUUUAUACCACUCUUCGGUAUCUUCUGGUACAACAAUUCUAUGAAACUUUUUGUCAUCUUCAUCCUCACUUUGCUCAUAAUCACUAUCUUUGAAAUCUUUACCAUUCCCUCAUGGUUUUAUUUUUGGGAACUCACGAACAACUUCCCAGUGGGUCACCCAUCCUAUGAGUGCUCUGGCCUCCUUCUCGCUUAACUUCAGAGUUACUACAGAACCCAAAGCCAGUGAGCUCCCAAAAGGCCUCGUGCUAGAUAGAGAUGUGAAUAUACAUUUAAGGAUCACUCCCCUAGGCGAUGUGAGAUGUUACAAUCCACCUCCUUUAGAAGCCUGACUUCCUCGUCGGCACACUUCUAGCCAGGGAUUGGCUCUGAUACCAUUUGUCACAUCCUGGCCCGGGUCCACCACAUAUCGGGCCCGCUCUACUAUCGUAGCACGAUAUUUUCCGCUUUGGGCUUACCAUUCCCUCACGGUUUUGUUUUUAGGAACUCACGAGCAACUUCUCAGUGGGUCACCCAUCAUAAGAAUGCUCUGGCCUCCUUCUCGCUUAACUUCGGAGUUCCUACGGAACCCAAAGCCAGUGAGCUUCCAAAAGGCCUCGUGCUAGGUAGGGAUGAGAAUAUACAUUUAAGGAUCACUCAUCUGGGUGAUGUGAGAUGUUACAAAUAUCACCACAAGGUUUAUUUCUCUAAAACAACGAAGGAAUGGUUAUGCCAAAUGAAUAUGCAUAAUAUGUAUGAAUUUGUUUCAAUCACUAAGUUAGCAAAACCCCAAAUCCCAAAGAUUCAACCACAAACCAAAAAAUUCAAGUCUUUUUUUUGAAAAGAAAAACCAACGCAUUCAAGUAUGAAAACAUUAGGACCACACAAACACCAAUUUAAUUCAUUAGGACCACCCAAUUUGACAUUAAUAAUAAUAAUAAUAAUAAUAAAAACCCUAAUUUGAUAGUAUUAAAAUCCCUAAAACCUAGUACAACGAGGGAAUCUAUGCAAGUACAGAGAGAGACAACAUAACUUGAUUUUUUAUUGAACCAAAUUAAGUAUUCAAUAAAAAUUCAUCUGAUGAACCAAAUUAAGUACACUUACUGUAACGUGGAGGCUCCCCUGGAAAGACAUCUCUUCAUUUAACCAACGUUGAAAAUUCAUAAGAUAGAUUUGUUAGUUUGAGAUUUUUUUGAGCAAAAGUUUCAAAAUCGCCUUAAAGUGCAACGCACCUAGAUCAUCAACCAAUAGGCGCAAGAAAAGCCGAUGAGCGAAGCAGGUGUUGUCUCUCUUCUCUCUUGACAGAGUCCUGGUUACCUUAAAGACCAACAUCAGAGUAUGGGCAUAGAAAAUGAGGAUUUUACCCUUUUACAUAUGUCAUGUGCAAGUCACAUGGCCUAAGUUAACAAAAAAUUGGAUGGAAAAACUUGAAAUCUAACGGCAAUGAUGAAAUUGGCUGUUUGUAAUGAGUUCAAGGAUCUAUUUUUCUGAAAAAAUAAUUCAGAGACCUAAUUUUCACUUGAGUGAUAAUUGAAGGACUAAAUCGGCAGUUCAAAAAAAAAACUGACAUAAAUUGUUAACAUACCCACUAACACAAAUGAGUCGCGGAAUGAUCCACUUUUAUUCGAUACUAUGCCAAGUUUGUACAUUCAAAAUGGUAUUAUCGAUUGAGAAAAACGUCUAAAUUCAUUCGAUUUUCUUAUAUAGAUUUGUUAUUCUACUAAAAAAACCCAUUGUCCAUUUCUAAUAAAUACUAGGCGUUGUAAUACUAAUAGGGCAGAUGAUGCCCUAAACUAAACUUUUGAAUUAGAUUUGAGCUGUGUCAUAAAGUAACAAAAGUACGAUAAAAGAUCAUAUUAUAGGACUGAAAAAAAAAAUAAUAGAAAAAAAUAAUAAAAAAGUACACAUUGUUGUAUGUAUAAUUUACUGAACAAUUAUAUAGGCCAGAGAGGGGUGCGGUAUAGAUAGAGAGAAAGAGAGAGAUGUAAUUGUGGGUGUGUUCUAUUCCAUCUUAUUGUGCUUUUAUUUAUAGUAAUAGGAAAGGGUAAAACUUUUCCUUUAGGAUUAUAAUAUUUAAUAAGUAAUCUACUCCUAAUAAGAAUAGAAGAUACAUUCUUAUAUCUACUAUCAUUUACACAAUCACAUUCCUAUUUCGAUAGCACUGCAACACACACAUGACGUGACAAAUUGAAAUGUAGGGAGUGGCCAUACGACGCCGUUACAAGUCGCAUGCAAAAUGUUUAAUAAUUUGGUUUCGCUUGACAAGCAUCUCUACAGUCGAGUGGGUCGCAUAGAGGUCCAAAACGUUGCGUUUCGAGCCCCUUGCAUCUUCCUCCUUUCUUUCGGUUUCCGUUCGUCUCUGUCGCAGAGGGACUUGAAAAUCCAAGCAAGUAAAGGCCCAACGCCAAAACCACAGAGCUCCCUCCCAGAAUCUAAAAGAACCCCUCUUUUGGCUCGUGAAACACUCUCUGACAUUCCCAAUCUUCCCCUUUUACCCUUUUCAAUCCAAAGAAAAUAAUUGAAUUGAUUUUUUUUUUCCAGUUUUAAAUUUCUGGUUUUCCACUUCUGGAUCCUGAAUCCUGGAAGCAAACGCCACACUAGUAUCCUGAAAGAUGCCGUCUUGAAGGUACUCACGGAAAGAUGUUUUCUUUUUGGAAUUUAAUUAUUUUCUGCAGUUUGGUAUUUUUUUUUCUUGCUGUGGGAAUUUAGAUAAGGGCUUUGUGUUUUCGGGUUUUGUGCAAAUUGUGUUUUGCUUUGUUUGUGUGCGUGUGUUUGUAUUGAAUUGUAUUGUAGUGCAAAGGAAUUGAAUUUUUAGGGUUUUAUUGGUUGGCACAGAGGAGUGCAUUGUGGAUUGUGGAAUGUAAAUGGUUUUUAUGAGUGUAAUGGUAUUUUGGAUUUUCUGGGAUUGCUCAUUUGGUUAAAUCAAUUGCAUGACUCAUUCAGCAGGUGGUUUUGGUUUCCUGAUGAGGUAAUUUGAGUUGAUUGUUUCAAUUAGGUUCAAUUUAGGAGUUUCGAAUAGGUAUUCCAAUUAUAUUAAUGCUAUCUGACAUUUAAUGCUGCUUAUAUGGUGUUGGUGUGAAUGUUAAAAUGGUUUGAUGCACGGGACUCACUUUGCAUUUUACCCUAUGGUUUAGUUUAAGGUUUUGGUGUUUGUGACUCAACAAGUGUUUUCUUAGGUAGAUGUUGUUUGUUGAUGAGCUGAACUUAGUAUGUUAUGGACUCCCACCCUCCAAUCGAGUUUUCAGCGUAGGGAUGCAUAGAGUCCAUGUUUGUGAUGUCGGCACUGUUUCUGUCAAGAGCAUGUUUUUUCUACUUUUCUAUGUCAAGUUACCGCUCUGUUCCUUAAUCUUCACUUACCUUCAUGGAAUUUUACUUGUAGGUUUUACAGGAGCUAUGGCUCUUCAAAAAUUUCCGUCUCGCGAUGCACCUUCUGUUAGGUUUAGUAUGAAACCUUUGAGCUUUCUCAGUAAGGUUCAUGACAAGAAUCAACCUGAGGACCUAGAGACAACGCAUAUAAGUCAUGCUAAGGAGCCUGAUGCGGAUAUUGACCUGGGAGAAGUGUAUUUUCUUAUUAUGCAUUUUCUGUCUGCUGGACCGUGCCACAGAACUUGUGGACAGUUGUGGAAUGAACUUCUUGAACAUCAACUUUUACCUAGAAGAUAUCAUGCUUGGUAUUCAAGGAAGGGCAUCCACAGUGGGGAUGAAAAUGAUGAUGGGAAAUCAUUUCCAUUAAAUUACAACAUGCUAGUGCACAGGUAUGUAAUGUGCUUUUUUUCUUCUUCUUUUUCUUUUUUUUUAUAAGUCGACUUAUAAUCGGCAGUUCUUAGGUAAUCUUUUUUGGAUUUCACUGCGACUUGUGAUACUAAAUAUUGUGUGGCAUUAGUUAAUUACUUAAGACGGAUUUAGAUCAUAAAAUGAUAAUUGGACAGAUAUAAGUCAUAAAAGAAUUUUGUUUUCCUUAACAAUGUAAAACAUGAGUUGUUUUCUUUAUGGUUUUUAGUUAAUUACAGAGAAUUAUAUAUCCUUUUUUUGUUUGUUUUCUUCUUUUCUUUUUCUGAAAAUAAACAGUGGGUUCUGAGUGCCAGUGUUCAAGUAUGUAUGCUGUUUUCUAAAUACCAAUCUGGGCGACUCUUAUGUAAUUUAUAAAUUCUUGAAACUUGAUUAAUACUUUUUCCUCUGGGUGGUUGGAGUGUGGUGCGAUUGCUUUGGUUAGUCUACUUAUAGCUCUGCUCAUGACUUUUUGGGAUCAUGAUAACUUAUCCAGCAGCUGUACUCUUUGUUUCAUUUCGUCUCAAUUCAAAUGGAUGUUUUGUAGAUCUUAGUUUUUCUGGUUAUCCUCUUUCUAAAACCCAUGUACAGAGCACACUUUUCCUUUGCUGCUUAUUGUUCUGGUAGUUCUAUUCCAAAAAAUUUCAUGCCAGUAGGUGUAGUCAUUGAAAAAAAAAAGUAUGAUUGUAUUAUAUUCGUUUUUUUCCUAUAAUAUCCUAUUGAUUCCCUUUCCUCAUCGUUUAGGUAUCCUCACAUUGAAAAUGAUCAUUUGGUAAAGCUUUUGAAGCAAUUGAUUUCAAGUGCAGCCCCACCAUCGAGGGGUAUGAGUGGUGGAAAUGCUCCAAAUGCAGCUGAUGUGCCUACUCUCUUGGGACUUGGUUCAUUUUCACUUCUGACCUGUAGGUGACAUUUAUUUAAGCUUUGAAUUUUUUAAUUCAUAUCACUACCUUUAAUUGUUGAACUUACGAUUUUCAAGUAAUUGACCAAUGUUUUCCUUAUUUGCAAAUUUGUUUGUUAUAUGAGUGUGUAUGUGUAUGUAUGUGUGUGUGUGUGUGUGUGUGUGUGUGUUACAUAUCUUACAUUCAUUUUCAAGUUUUCAUACUGUUAUCAUGUUCAGUCAUCCGUUGGGGGUUUGAAAGUGUUUCCCUCUCUUUUUGGAAGUUAUUUCUGCAACAUAUACAUUUGUUUUACCGGUUAUCAUUCUCAUUUUCAUUCACUGGUCGAAAAAGGUGUGAUUCUUCAUUAUAUCUAAAAAGGAAAACCUUCUGCUUUUCCAGAUGAAAGGGAUCAAGUGCACAAUGAAAUGAAGCGCCCUCCUGCUCAUAUGCGUUGGCCUCACAUGAAAUCUCAUCAGGUUCAAGGGCUACGGUUGAGAGAAAUUGGGGGAGGUUUCACCCGACAUCAUCGUGCACCGUCUAUUCGUGCUGCAUCCUAUGCCAUUGCAAAGCCCUCGACCAUGUUUGAGAAGAUGCAAUUUACCAAGAGGCUAAGGGGUCAUCGAAACUCUGUCUACUGUGGUAUGUUUUCUCAUUUGUCAGAGUUCACAGUUGUUAGGUAGACGUGAAAGUUCGUUUUACAUAUCUUACUACUAUUAGCAACGAAUUGAGUUGCUUCAGUUCGUAAUGAAUAAUAGGGUUUUUUUUAUACUUUCUCUCUCUGUCUAGUUUGUCUGCUUAUACAUUUUUAGUAUCUAGUUUCUGCCAUUGUUGAUCUAGGAUUCAGAGAAAUUGAUAUAUGAAAAGGAGAGGGAAAUAAUGGUUUUUUUUUUUUUUUUUUUUUAAAAAAGGAGAGAAUUAUUGUAAGCUUUUGCCUGCUGUUUCAUUUGAUCAAGUUUGUAGUUCACACCUUUAAAAUGUUGUAUAUAUCUCAUGGUGGUUUUAUCUGGACAUGAAUGGUGCAGCAACAUUUGAUUGCUCAGGGAGGUAUGUGAUUACUGGUUCAGAUGAUCGCUUAGUGAAGAUCUGGUUAAUGGAAACUGCAUUUUGCUUGGCCAGCUGCCGUGGACAUGAAGUAAGUCAUUAAUGGCCCCUCAAAGAUAUAGUUUUCCCUUGUCGCGCUUUAUUUAUAAUUUUAUACUCAUUUUAUGAUUGAAGGGAGACAUCACGGAUCUGGCUGUGAGUUCCAACAAUGCUUUGGUGGCAUCCUCCUCAAAUGACUGUAUGAUUCGAGUAGUAAGAUUCAUCUUUUGCCAAUAUAUAAGGAUUCUGUGUCUAUUUUUGCUUUUUUACUUUUUAGUUUUGACCUUUGCUGGAAACUCAAUGUUGACUUGCUUUAAUUUUUCAUGUUUACCAGUGGCGCUUGCCAGACGGGCUGCCAAUUUCAGUAUUGCGAGGACAUACUGCAGCUGUUACUGCCAUUACAUUUAAUCCCAGGCCAGGCUCUAUGUACCACCUUCUAUCGUAAGGCCUAUUCUCUCACUCUAUUUAAAUAUAUUUCCAUGUGGAGUUUCUAAUUAGCUGCAGGUAAUUUACUCUCCUGUUCGACCUUGCUGAUCAUUAUGCAAUUGCAAUGUGAUGCUGUUAUUCUUUUGUUUUUCACUGAUUAUCUUUUUGUGAUGCUGAUUUCAGUGACUUCUGUGUGUGCAAACAAUUUGUUAUUGAAAUUUUGUACUACUAAAACCAUUUUUUGAAUGUGAGAGAUCUUUAGGGAUGUGAGAGUAGAAAAUGGAAAUGGAGGAUCUCUGAAUUCGAUAAGUUAGAGGAUGACUUUGGGAGGGGAAAUAUCCAAGAUUAGAAUAAGAUUUGAGGUAAUGGUUUGUUCAAUGUAUUAAAAGCGUGAGGCGUGGGCGAGGUGUCCGAGGGGAAGCCCAGCCUAGGCGUGAGGCGAAGCCUCACGGGACCUAAAUUUUUUAAUAUAUACACUGAGCGUACACAUAUAUAUAUUAAAAAUAAGAAGAUUAUUAAUCAAUAAUCAGCCUGAGCACACACAUAUAUUAUAAAUAUAUAUAUACACACAUAUAUAUACAUAUAUUAUAUUAUAUAUGCAUAAAAUAGAGGAUGAAAAGCACAAUGAGCACACAUAUAACAAUGCAUGCAAACAACACACACAUCCAUUAUAUAAAAAAUAAAAAUCAGAAAAAAGGCAUAGAGACAAAAGUGCAAGGAAGAGGUAUGAGGCAGUUAAAAUCCUACCCAAAAUUUGGGUUUGGGAGUAAAGAAAAAAAAAAAAAAAACUCACUGAGGCGCGCCUAGGCGGCUCCGGCGAAGCCUUUCGCCCACUCCAGCAAAACUGAGGCGUUAGCCAUGACGCCCAGCCUCAAGGGCGCCCUAGGCGCGCCUCAAGGCGAGUUUUUUAAAACAUUGGGUUUGUUAAAGAAAACCUAUUUGGAGACGGAAAGCCCUUGGCUAAGGAAGGAAUAGAAUUCUAGACUGGUUGACAGGGUGGUGAAGUAUCAGCAUAAGCUGAAUGUGAAUGGUAAACUAGACACCAGAGGUCGUAGCAUUGCUGAGGAUGGGAAGGCUAUUGUGAUAUGAGGGAUUUUAAGAUGGAUUUCAUGGGUUUCUUUGUUCUUUGAGAAUUUAUGCUUUUGGUUGAUGAUAAGAAGGUAAUGGUUUUGUAAAUUGGAUUGUAAUAGGCAAUUUAUAUGGGUGGUUUGGAUGGUGAGGACUUGAAGAAACUCUUGGAAUAAAUGUAGUGUAGAGGUAGAUGUUUUGAGGGGUCACAUCACAAGAAGGAUUCUUUGUGAGCUGCAGUUUUUACUGUAUAUUCCCAAAGACCAUUUUCUUUUGUUUAUGGAUUGGAUGGCUUCGAGACUAAAGAGAUUCUUUUACGUUAGCUGUGUUUAGCUGUGUAAUUUUUGUUUUCCUAUUUAGCUGGACUGCGUGUUCAAUAUCAUUGUAGUUUCUAGUUAAAGAAUUCUGUUUUCACUCUCUCUUGCUUUCUAUAUUUGUAUAUUUAUUUAUAUGUUUCUAAACUCAAUCGAUUCUUUAUUUUACUGAUGCUGUUAAAUAAUGUUAAUCUUAUAUUUUGUUAGCUUGCAACGUAUUUUUGGUGGAAACCAUUAUGAUUGGAAUUGUUAGGCCUUUCUCCUUGUAAUUAACCUUGUGCUGUUUUUUGGUCAUUUGCAGUUCAUCUGAUGAUGGAACUUGUAGGAUAUGGGAUGCCAGGAGUUCUCAAGUGAGUCCAAAGAUGUACAUUCCAAGACCUUCAGAUGCUGUAGUUGGUCAGUUGUUUCUCUGCUGCAGCAGCUAAGUUCAAUAAACUUAUUAAGGUGAAAGAGAACUCAGUUCGGUCAUACAAUUGCUUUACUGCAGGGAGAAACAGUGGUCCAUCUUCAAGCACUGUUACACAGGACCAUCAUAUCUUCUGUUGUGCAUUCAAUGCUAAUGGAACAGUCUUUGUCACCGGUAGCUCGGACACUCUUGCAAGGGUAUUUAAAACCUUCAUGUUCCUUGUUAUUAUUUCUGCAGUCUUCGGUUUAGUCACUAUCUUCACUUACUUUUGCUUCAGUAUAAUGCAAAUUUUCUGCCUCUAAUGAGUACUGAAUAAACUCAUGAAUUGUAUCUUAAAUAGUUUUCAGUUCAAAAAUAAAUUAGGAAAAUAAAACCAUUUAUAUAUUUCUACUAAGAGCUUGCUGGUUUAAGGUGUGGACUGCUUCUAAGCCAGGCUCAGAUGAGCCAGACCAACCAAAUCAUGAGAUUGAUGUGUUAUCUGGCCAUGAGAAUGAUGUCAAUUACGUACAAUUUAGGUUAGUUUGUGCUGAAAUUUUGCUGACAACAUAUCUAUCAAUCUUUGCAUGCUGAUUAUGUUGCUUCAUACACUGCAGUGGUUGUGCUGUAGUAUCUAGAUUUAUGGCAGCUGACCCCUCAAAGGAAGAGAACGCUCCCAAAUUUAAAAAUUCGUGGUUUGUUUCUCCUCUUCCUUGUGAUUGUAAUGUUAACUUUUUCUCUGAUAUGUUAAAUUUUUUCUCUCAUCUCUGUGCCCUUAUAUUCUACACUUUUCCUUUCGGGUUUAGAUUCACUACCAAUAGUAUAUAAUCCACUUUAUUUUCCAGGUUCAAUCAUGACAAUAUAGUCACUUGUUCUCGCGAUGGGAGUGCAAUUAUCUGGAUUCCCAGAUCACGAAGAUCACAUGUAAGUUUUAACAAAGAUAACUUAUAACUUCCUUUCUAGCCUGCCCAUUUUCUCAACAAGCUUUUCUAAUGAAACAGUUGUAUCCACCAACUUUUGAAUUUUUCGCUUUGUAUGGAAAAAAAAAUGUAUAGCUAAUUUCACAUUCCAGGGAAAAGCUGGUCGUUGGACUCGGGCUUAUCAUUUGAAAGUUCCACCUCCACCAAUGCCCCCUCAGCCUCCACGAGGAGGCCCUCGCCAGAGGAUUCUUCCAACUCCUCGUGGUGUUAAUAUGAUUACCUGGAGUCUUGACAAUCGCUUUGUACUUGCUGCUAUCAUGGGUAAUUUGUUUGUUGUUUCUCAUGUAUAGUUUAUGUAUUAGAAUAUUAUUUCUAUGCACCGUAGUAAUUUUCUAAUGCCUUUGCAUAGAGUAAAUAAACCUAGGCCUCGCAACCUUUCACGGACUAGGAUUAAGUUGAAGGCCUUAAAUUCUGUAAAAAGGUCGUACCCAGUGCACAAGGCUCCCGCUUUACGCAGGGUCUGGGAGAGGUGAAUGUCGGCUAGCCUUACCCCCAUUUAUGGAGAGGCUGCUCCCAAGUCUCGAACCCGAGACCUACCGCUCAUGGGCGAAGGCACUUUCAUAGGCGAAGGCCUUAAAUUCUGUAAUUAUUUCAAAAUUAUUCUUGUAAUGCAGAUUGCAGAAUAUGCGUGUGGAAUGCUUCUGAUGGUAGCUUGGUGCAUUCACUGACAGGUCAUACUGAAUCUGUAUGUGGCUCAAUCUCUUCGUUAUUGAUUAUCCUUUUUUUUUUCCCUUAAUUCUCUGUUCGAGAAUUUUGUUAUUUGAUCUUGUUAUUUGAUCAAGUAGUGUGCCUCCAGAAGUGGAAAAAAUAUAUAUCUUACUGAACACUUUUCUGGUAGCUUAUCUUUUCAAUUGGUUGCCAUAGUCGUCCUUCUUUAUCUAUUGCUGCCUUGUCUACAAUGUGUUAGUUCUGUACAGAAACUGGGGCUGUUUUGAUCAUCCGUAUCUCAUGUGCUAGUAUACUUACGUAUUGCUUCUGCUGUUUAUUUUUUCCCAUCAUCUUAAUGUAGUAUUCUAGUCUUCUAGCUAUUUCCAUUUCCUUUUGUUGAUUUAUUGUCUGUCAUAUUGUGUCAAAAGUCUAGGUCUAACAACCUUUCACGAACAAGUAAACUUAAAUCACUAAAUAUUCAAUUCUGUUAUUGAUAGACAUAUGUGCUGGAUGUUCAUCCCUUCAACCCCAGGAUAGCAAUGAGUGCUGGCUAUGACGGAAAAACAAUUGUCUGGGAUGUGAGUUUCCAGUAUAAUUAUUCUGCUUGCAAUUUCAAUUUAUGUUAUAUGGUUCUGAAUGCUUUGCUGACUUGUGAUUUCAGAUAUGGGAAGGCAUACCUAUUCGGAUAUUUGAAACUUCCCACUACAAAUUGGUAGAUGGAAAGUUCUCGCCGUAAGUGACUAAUAAGAAUUCUCUAUUUUGGAAGCUUUUCUGCUAAACCUCUCGUAUUGUCACUAAAUGUUCUUUAUUCUCUAUAGAUUUAUGACUAUGAGAUCCUGAAUCAUUGGUAUUCAAAUUGGCUAUAUGAUAUCUUUUUUAUAUGGCACUUUUUGCCCUCAUUUUCGAUGAUUCUAUGUAGCUUUAACUCUAACUUUCCAUGACUAGUUGUUUUUUGCUUCUCUUUUGCCUGGAAGAUCUAUCAGUUGGUAUCCCCGCACCCCAUUUUCUCUUUUCUUUCUGGCUACUAUUUGGUGAAAUAUACUUUGCUUUCCUAACUGCUUUCCUGUACUUACAAAGGAUUCUUUCUUUGUAAUAUAGGGAUGGAACAUCAAUUGUCCUCUCUGAUGAUGUUGGCCAAUUGUACAUAUUGGACAGUGGCCAAGGGGAGUCCCAGAAUGAUGCAAAAUAUGAUCAGGUAUGCUUUUUCCCUUCAAAUUUUCUAGCAAAAUACGAAUGUAUGCCUUUAGUUCAGUUGGAUUUUGUUUUCAUGCUUUGUUUUUCAAGUUGUACUUAAUUGUGCAUGCACUUUGACAGUUUUUUCUUGGUGAUUAUCGCCCACUCGUUCAUGAUAGCUUUGGAAAUGUUCUUGACCAGGUUAGUUGGCCAUUUGCACUAUUGUUUGUAAUUGGUUUUCAUUUUCUGGUUAGCUCAACUAGUGAAUAAAUUACGUAAGUGAUAAUUCAAUGGUAGGGACUAUUGAAUAAAAUAUACAUUACCAGUAAAUAGAAAAUAAAUAAACCAAGGUGAACUGUCAUGUUUGUUCUUUUGAUGUGUGGUUGAUGUACAAACAAAGACCCCUCAUUUUGGCCAUGCAAUUUCCGUGCAUGACAAAGUUCACUGUGCGUGGUCUCAGUGGUGGUUAUGAUGGAUGGGUAACCGUAUGCAGGAGACUGGCUAAGAGAGGUUAGUUUAGCUGUUUGGGAUAGUGGGACCAGUUUCAAUAUUCCUUUUAGAGAGUUGAAAGUUUUUGGUGUGUGCCAAAACUCAGUGCCACCUUAAAAUUAUAGUAUAGAUGUAUACAUGAUUGACGAAACAUAAUUUAAUUCUAAUAUAUUUGCAAUGCUCCUACGUUAGAUGUAUAGUAGUAUUAUUUGUAUUACAUGAUGUGGCCACUUCUUAGCUUGAAAUAUCCACAACGUUUGAUUCAGGAAACUCAGCUUCCAGCAUACCGGCGGAAUAUGCAAGAUCUACUUUGCGAUUCAGGUUUCUCUCUACUCCUUGUUUUGUAGGAAUUAUUCUCUUCUGGAAGUUUAUUUUCUCAAGCACUGUUUUAUGGUGGCAACGCUAGGCAUGAUACCGUAUGAAGAACCCUACCAGAGUGCAUACCAGAAGAGGCGGUUAGGAACUCUGGGUGCCGAGUGGCGUCCUUCCUCUUUAAAACUUGCUGUUGGGCCUGACUUCAGUCUAGAUCCAGAUUACCAAAUUUUGCCUUUGGCAGACUUGGAUAUGUUGGCUGAACCUCCUCCAGAAUUUUUAGACGCCAUGGAUUGGGAACCAGAAACUGAAAUACGUAGUGAUGAUACGGAUUCAGAGUACCAUAUUGCUGAAGAUUAUUCCACUGGAGGGGAGCAAGGAAGUUUAAGUUCAAAUCCCUCUAUUGAUCCAGAGUGCAGUGAAGAAAGUGAGGAUGAGGAUGCUGAAAUGGAUGGACUUCGAAGAUCAAAAAGGAAAAAACAAAGGGCUGACGUAAGUUCUCUUUCAAUAACAAUUUAUAUUUCAGAAUUUGGUUAGGAUCUGGCUGAAUGUCUCUCCUUUCUGUUAUCUCUUUCCUCAGAUUGAAGUCAUGACUUCUUCCGGGAGGUGUGUCAAAAGAAGGAAUUUGGAUGAGUGUGCUGGCAAUUCAUUCAGAAGUAACAGAACAAGGAAAUCAAGACAUGGACGAAAAGCUUCAAGAAAGAAAUGUUCCUCAUCAUUGAGACCUCAAAGAGCUGCUGCACGCAAUGCUCUUAAUCUAUUUUCUAAGAUUACUGGAAGAUCUGCAGAUGGAGAAGAUGAAGAUGGAUUGGAAGAUGAUAUGUCAGGAAGUGAAUCCCCACUUCAGGAUUCAAACAUUGAGAGUGAUGAAUCUGAUAAACAAAAUCAGCAAGGCAAGCGUUUGAAAGGAAAAGAGGUUUUUCUGGAUGAGUCUGAGGACAUGGCUAAACCUAUUGAACGCCCUGAGUUUCUAGUAAAUACUGGGAGCAGUAGGAGGUUGGUGCUUAAAUUGCCAAGACGGGAGUCAAAUAAGCUCGUGUCUAGAGAAAGCACUGUACAUAAUUGUCGUAAUGAGGAUUUGGUUGAUCAAUCAUAUAGAGUGCCUCAAGAAGCAAAUGAAAAUGAUAUAAGUCCUCAGGAUCCAAUUUCUGUUCCGGGGGAUAAAAAAUGCAGCACAUUUGAAACAGCAGUGAGUGGGCAAUCACACAAAGUAGAAAAUCAUUUAGACUUCAAAGGGAGAAUUAGUUGGGGAGGGUCCAGAGCACGAACAGCGAAGCGCCAGAGAUCAGGAGAAUUCAUGUCAUUGGAUGCACUUGCCAGAGCCAGUGCAGUUGUUGGGCACAAUGAAAAAGACUACACAAAACCUGAAAAUAUUUCUCCUCGUUCAGAAAGCCAACGGUACAGGGAUAGGAUGGACACAGCUGUAGUGAAUGAGGAAACCACUGGUGCUAGUAUCUCCGAAGGCUUUAUUGGUGAAGCCAAUGUUAAAGAGCAUUCAAAUUUUAGUGAAUGCAAGGAUCAUGAUCAAUCGCCUAAAUCUGUUUACAUGGCUCCUUGGGAUGCAAGUACUUCAUCCUGCCUUGAUAAGGAUGGGACUGGUUUCUCUUUCGAACAAAAUGAGAAGCUCAUACCUGUCUCAACGAAAUUAAGGUUGAGGAGGAUUUCAAGGGAUCCUAGUCCAUGCAAAGAGGAAAUUAACUCUGUGGUAGAGAUGGAAAAUGGUUGGACGAUGGAACAGGGUCCAGUUGUGCCAGAGGUUAAUGGAACCCAUAAAUUUAUUCCGGAUCAUAGAUAUGAUGGUUCACGAGAACCAGACAAUCAAUCUGAUAAGAAUGUUAUUGGUGGCACACAUGAAUCUGCCGAAUCCAGUUUACAAAACAACAAAAUGUUCAGUGCUGUUUAUAGAAGGGUGAAACCACAUAGGGGUAGAAGUAAUUCAGAAGGUGAUAGUGGUGUUAAGGGAGAAGGUUGUUCGUAUACUUCAAAUACAAGCAACCACAAUAUCAUUGCUGGAGACAUUCAGGAUGACACAACUGAUGGAGGCCGCAGGACACGGUCCAUGGGGUUGAAGGCGUCUGCAUGUGAUCCAAGUAGUCCAGAUCAUGAUCCUAAGUUAGCGGAAGGACAUGAGCCAGGUUAUACAUUUAGAAUUAACCGGAAAAGUUCAUUGGACAAGUUUCAACUUGGGAAUGAAGAAUGGGGAUCAAGUUCAAGGACAACAGUUGGGUUGAGGUCUAGUAGAAACAGAAGAAGCAGUUAUCUUGACAUGAGCCCAAUGGAUAAAAGGAAGCCGCAUCAGUCAGCAAAGAAAGUAUCAUGGUUAAUGUUGUCAACACAUGAGGAGAGCUCUAGAUAUAUUCCCCAGAUAGGGGACGAAGUUGUUUAUCUGAGACAGGUUUCUCUAUAUCUUUCUGCUGGCUUUUUUUUCCUUUUUAUUUCUUCCUUUGCGCAGAGGAGGGUGGAGCUUGUACCUUAGCGCCACAAUACGGCAUCCCUAAGUGACCCAUUGGUCGCACAAGUUGCUUAAACAGCUUUUCUUGAAUAGGGAUAGAGCUGCAUCUGUUUGCCCUCCCCCCGCCCUGCAAUGUCCCAAGCUUGUGCACUGGGCACCCUUGUUUUGGUUUUGUUGUAUGAAUGUCGAUAAUAUCGCUUACUUUGGUAACCUCCUUUUCUCUUUCCUUUCUUACCAGGGGCAUCAAGAGUAUUUCGAUCUAGGUGGAUUGAGAGAAAACCCACCAUGGAGGUUUAUAAAGGGGAGAAUAAGAGCUGUAGAAUUUUGCAAUGUUCAAGACCUAGAGUAUUCUUCACUUGCAGGGUCUGGGGAUAGCUGCUGUAAAUUGACGCUUCAAUUUGUAGAUCCUUCUUCUGAUGUGUAUGGUAAAUCUUUUAAAGUGACCCUGCCGGAAGUUACUGGUUUCCCAGACUUCAUUGUUGAAAGAACACGCUAUGACUCUUCCAUAGAGAGAAAUUGGUCAUGUAGGGAUCAUUGCAAAGUCUGGUGGAAAAAUGAGGGUGAGGAUGACGGUAAGUGGUGGCAUGGCAGGGUUACGUCUAAACGGUCUAAAUCGCCCGAGUUCCCAGACAGUCCUUGGGAGAUGUACACUGUUCAGUACAAGAGUGAUCCUAGUGAUACACAGCUGCAUAGUCCUUGGGAGCUUUUUGACGAAAAUACUCUAUGGGAGCCUCCUCGCAUUGAUGAUAAAAGCAAAAAGAAGCUGAAUGCGGCCUUUUCCAAACUAGAGCGAUCAGCCGGAAGUCGCCAGGUAUAAGGAGAAAAAACCUUUUACUUUUAAAUUUUAAUAACUCGAAAAAAGAAUUUGGCCAAUGGCCUCAUUUAGUAAACUCUGAAGAUUUACAAGGAUUUUUAUCAACAUUGUUGUGUACAAUUCAGGAUCCUUUUGGGGUUGACAAACUGAUGCAACUUCAACAGAAGCCAAAGUUUACAAACUGGUAUGUCUUUGUCAUCCUUACAGCGUGACUCGUACGUACCGUUGGAUUUCCAUGUCGUGCACUCUCUGUCCGUCAAACUGAUGGUGAUGGAACAACUUUUUUUCAAAUGCUGUCUGGGUAUUGACAUGUAGUCUUGUUUUAUGGAAUUCUCUCAGGUGCGUGGUUCCGAUAUCUCUUGAUGUGAUCCAAUCUAGGUUAGAGAACGACUACUAUCGAAGCCUGGAAGCGCUGAAGCAUGACUUUAAGGUUUUGCUGUUAAAUGCUGAAACCUAUCUCGAGAGCAAUGCGGUCAAACGCGCAUCAGAUAAAGAGCUUUUAGGGAAAUUGAAAUGCCUAUCAGACUGGUUCACAGAGACAAUAUUAUCCUUGUAGGUUGUAGCUCCCAUGGUUUUGUAAAGAAUUUGAGUCAUUAAUCUUGAUUUUAGGUUUUACCCCCUUCUAUUCUUUCUUCCUUAGUUCAAUUUUGGGUAUUCUGUAGUUAGAGAAAUGGUAGUGUAAUUUUUUUUUUACCAGGGAAUUCAUUCUUGUACAGACAUUCGGUUUAUUUUUGCAAUGGGAAAAAAGAGUCAGCCUUGCAAGUCUCGUUUUUUCUCUCGUGAUUUUCGCACUCCAUUUUUUUCUUCACUCUUGUUUUCGCCUCCUGAUACUCCUUUGAUUUAUUUAAAAUAGAAGUGCGAAAAUCACUUCCGAUUCAUUACUUGUAUCCGGGGUGGAUUUCACCUUCCCCGCCCCGGGAUUUCACACAGAAAAAUGGCCGCGCCUGUUACCCUUUGUGAUUCGAAACUGCAAGGAAGCAUAGUAUUGUGGCAAAAACAAAAGUAAUAUUUGAAUCGACACCAAAUUGGAUGUCAAAGGAUGGUCUGAACAAAUGCAGAAGUGCCUUCAACACAAAGUCUUUAGAACUAAUCUCCAUCCCAGUUACAUUUUUGGAAAACGAUACAUUCGUUUUGAACAACAUGUGUUUCCGGUAGAAGGAGAAGUGAGAACAUUAAGUGGGGGUCUUGAAUCUUAGUCUCGCCACCUGUGGCCGCAGUUGGGGUUGCAGCAAACAAAGAACAAUGUCAUACCCUCCUCUCCUCUAGCAGUUGCCUGCACAUGGACAAUCAACUUACAGAAUUAGCAGCAGUUAUAAAUCUCCAUUAUAUAGAGUAAACAAACAGCUAUGAGGUGCAAGUUUAUGGCACGUGACGUCAGCUGACAUUUCAAAAUGGUAUCACUGCAUGUAUGGUCUAAGCGGACAUAUAUGUUGAAUCCCACGUCGGCCAUACAAAAAGAAAAGUAAUAGUUUAAAUAUCCUAACCCCACUCUAACUAAUACCGAGGCUUUUUGUGAUAAAACCUCAUACCUGACGGAUUGUACAGAUGGUAAUUACUAAGUUGAGGACAAUAUCGGUGUUGUUGAAAGUGGGCCGUAUGGCCUGUCUCUUUGAUAAUUCUACAAUAUACCCCCCAGAGACGGAAAGAAUCCGACUUCCCAGUGAUACAAUGGUGGAAAUUUGGUCAAAACAAGAACUCGUGCUGAAUACAAGUUAAGCGUCUUGUCCAAGAACCCACACUCAUGGUCGCUCAUUUAAUAGAGACUUGUUAAAUAGUCAACUGAAAUCUGAAUCCAAAGGCGGGAAGCAAUAAUCCAUGGAGUUCUAAAACUUUACGAACUCCUGAAAAAAUCUUUUAACCUUGAUGCAUUUCUAGAGUUAGCUAAACCAUAGUAAUAGCAAAUAACGUCAUGAACCCAAUUGUCUAAUGAUAAAGAGAGAGUUGGAAUUUCAUCAAACAAGGGACGACUUGGAAUAUUUAGCCUUGCGCUCUUGAACACCAAAAAUUAAAUGAAAACUAGCAAUAAAAUUCACCACAACAGACAGAGGAUAGGGCAUAUAUAACCUGAAAGAAUACAGCUUCUCCAUGUUCGCACUUUGCACAACGCACGGCUUUAGUUCGAGGAAGAGUAGGAUCUGCCGCUACAUCCUGCAAUAUCUGAGUGUGCUCGCCAACGGGGUGGUGUAUCUCAUUUCUAUAGACACAGUUGUUCUCAGCAACCUCCUGCAAACAAAGAAAAAACAUAAAAUCUAAUAAAUUCAUAAAACAUUCUCUAAUGUAUGGUUCCUUUUCUUGUCAGCCCUAUGAAUUAACUGGUCACCUUAAUUUAUAUGUUAAAAGAACAACUAAAUAAAAACGAACAGAGAAGAGUGCAAAUUAUCGGAAUUUUGUUUUCGGGUUCUAGCAGAAGAAAUUAAUAGCAAAAUGGAAAGACAUUGGGAACCCUAACUCAAUUCCAAAAUGUGGGUUUCAGAACAAUCUACAUUUGUAAAAAGGAAGAGGACUAAUACAACUUACUCAAAAGAAACCAAGAAAAAAGUUCCAUCCUUGUAAGACGCUUGAGUAGAGGCCAGAUUAACCUCAGGUUAUGGGAAUUAAUUAUCUUAGUCCUAAUUACCCAAAUGGAUUACGAAGCAUUAGGGAAAAUUGAAGAAAGUCGAGGUUCCACCAUAAAAUGAAGGGAACUUUAACGAAAAGCUUAUGGUACUGUUCACUUUAACGAAAAACCACAUUUUUACACUAAAAAGUCAAUCCUGGUACUAUUCACUUUACCCUUUAUUUUAUCCUUAUCUUUAAAACUCAAAGUUUUCAAGUUUUUUUCAUUAGUUUUCCUUAAAAAGAAUUGACAAUAUAGAAAGUACAGUUACUUAUAUUAUAAGUACAUGCAAGAAAUUUUUUUUUUCUUGACAUGGGAUUAAUACUAUCGACACGCACCUCACGUGUGGAGAAAUGAGAAGUUCCAACGUAAAACUAAUUGGCAAUACGAGGAGUAGCCCAAUUAAGCACAUGCAGGUCCCAUCUUUCCCGUUGGAUUAAUACUCCCAACACAAACCACAGCACUAAAAUUGAACAAAUCAUGCAAAAAACUUGCAAAAGAAAAAUGAGAGAAAGUGCUGACCUGGUGAUCGCAGUUGCGGCAGGCGUAGAGGAGAAUCUUAUGCUCCUUGUCCUCCUUCGGGUACAGAAUGUUGUUACUGAAAACUAACAAAGUUUAAAAGGAAACUUCACCAAAAAAAGAUGAUAAACUGAAAUUAAAAAUUAAAUACAGUCUGGUGGGAUUUACAGACCAUUCGCGGCAAAAUUUCAUGGUACUCAUCGUGGACAAGCACUGAGUUUUAGGGCUUGGGAGCUCUCUCUCUCUCUCUCUCUCUCUCUCUCUCUCUGUGAGUGUUCUGAUUAAUGGCGGGUUUUCUGCUCUUCUUCUUCUUCUUCUGGUGGUUUCUUUCUUUACAAGUUUAGAUGUUUCUGGCGGCACUAUAAAAUUAAAAAUAGUCUGCUUCAGUCUUAAGCGUAAUUCUAUUUAAGGGUAUUUUAGGUAAACUACAGACGUGGAGGUAUAAACAGUAAAGCGCCAAAGGACUUUUUACCUUUUUUUUAUUUUAAUUUUUUUAACAUAUAGAAACGAUAUAUUUAAACAUAUAGAAACGAUAUAUUUACACGUCGAGAGUGAGAAUUAAAUUCAUUUCAAAUUCGUUAUUUACGAUAUUCAAACUUAAUCUCAAACACAAGUAAUGUUAGGCCAAUUAACUAGAACCCUUCCAAUAUAAUAUUAGAGUAAUUUGAUUUGUCAAAUUAUUUUGAACAGCUAAGAAUACAAUAGUGAAUAGCUAAGAAUGCGCUCGAUGAGAAGCCAUCACGAUUUCUGAAAGAAUCAUCGACUGUUACGAAACACUCAUUUGGGCAUAUGCCGAUAGCCAGUGGUACAAUCAACUCGCUCUCACAAAGAAACAACAUUUCAAACAAAAACGCAGGCUUCCAUCGUCAAACCAACUUAGUUUUUGAAGAACAAUAAUGGAUACCAAAGAAAAUCUUGAUCUAUAGAAACAGCCACGGCAAAGUACGGUACAAGUUCAAAUACUGCAAGAGCGAGAAGAAAGAUAUCGCAAGGAAACACCUACAAAGAUUAUUUUGGUCUAAAUUCGCAACACGGAAAAUCCUUUAGGACGCCUCAAAAUCACAACUGAACUAAAUCGAAACACGACACAUGUUGAACCAAAUACACAACUACUCUUCACUAUGCUGCUCGAUCACCUCAUUUAAUGCUUUCUGCUGUGCCUCUUGCUCUUCUUCCGGCUCCUCCUAUCAUCAGAAUCAGAUUCGGAAACUGACUCAGAAUCAGAAGAUUCAGAUGAUGAGCUGUACCUUCUUCUACGCCUUGCCAUCUUUUGCUUCUUUUUCUUCCUUUGGCGCCUCCUGUCCCCCUCUGAGUCAGAAGAUGAACUGUAAUCUGAACUACUCUCCUCCGAAGAAGAGUCAGAUCCAGUAACUGAUGAUGCCCCACUAUCAGUCUCAAAAACUGAAGCCUCGCUAUCGCUGCCAGAAUCAGAAGCUGACCGAUGCUUCCUCUUGCUUAUUUUUGGCUGCUUUUCACUCUUCUCUUCCUUGAUUUCUGGACCGUCCAAAUCAUACGAUAUUUCAACCUUCAUCUUCAGUUUAGGAUUUUUGAGUUGCUGGGUCCUAGACGGUCGCGAGAUGUAAACACGUUCAUUCUUGCAUUCAUAUGUCCAAUGCCCAGGUUGGUAACACUUCUGGCAUUGUGAAGCUGCACCACCAACAGUAGAUACAUUUGACUUGAGGUCUUUCCGUUCACCCAAUCUCACAGCCUUUUCAGUACUCAUCAAAUACAUCUGUCUCUUGGCUUCCCUUUUCUCCUGCCAUCUGCUGGGUCCUUCUUCCUUCUGCCCAUAAGCAUUAACAUUCCGAGCAGCUGCAGCAGCCGCCCUUUCAGCCUGAGCUCGACUAAGACCUUUUGCAGCACUCAUGGCUGCAGCCUUGAUCCUCUCCGCUGCAGCUUGAGCUUUCUCUUCUUUCUUACUCGACAUGUUCUAAUUCACAAUGUUCAAAUCCGAAUACAAGCAAUUGCCUACUCGACAAAUGCCAACUGCCUGAAGUUCCAAAAAAAGUAUCAACACCACAAUCUCCAAAGCACUCACACUCUGCAUUUAAAUGAUAAUUAGGGCAUUCACAUUCAUUGAAUAUUGCCAUGCCCUGGUCAACAAAGUAAGAAAUCCCGAAAUAAAAACAAGUAUUUUGCUUUUCAGUAAAUAUAAAAGGCCAGAAAAAAAAACAUUUAAAUCAACUAGUUUUAAAACACAUGGUAUACACAGAAUGCAGCAUUAAAACCGACAAAACUAACCAACUUUGUAUGGCUGGUAGAACUUUCAAACUGCCAAAAUCAGUCAACACAAAUCAUAAUAAACAUUUCAUUCACACACAAAAUCUACUCCAAAAUAGAACUAAGCUUAUCGGAUGGUAAUUUGUCCACGAUAAAAGCGACAAGAGUUACACAAGACCUCCCUGUAAAAAGUAGGGCUGAUAAAUCUACAAGAAUCCUCGGACUACAUAUGUAACGGAAACGAAUCCAUAUUCGAACAUUAAAUAUUUAUGCUUUGAUAUACCUUAGUAUAAACAAAACCUAGUACAUUAAAAACUUUUCUUACGUCGAUUUCUGAACUUAAUAAUUCAUUCAAUCGGCAUCAUCAGUUUUAAUUCAAAAUGUAACCUACAAUUAAGCAUUUUCUUCAACAAGACUAUCAAUUCAACCUAAUUCUGAGUUGAGGAAACUGCAAUCUAUACACUUUUCCCCCUCAACCUACUAUGGUCGAUAAUUCCAAACAACAUCGAAUUACAGCAAUACUUGAAAAACAAGACCCGAAAUUUCCCCCAAAUCCCACAAUCGAGAACCCAAAACAAUUAAAAAGAGCAUGCUUUCCCUACCGAUCUGCUCACAAAAUGUUGCCGAGCCGGAGAUUUGGCCAAUUCAAGGAAGGACCUUUACAGCAAUAAAUUUGCACCAGAACCCUAAUCACUAGUAAAACAAUAAAAUAAAGAAAAAUCCAAGAAAAUAGAGAGAGAGGUUACCUUCUUCUGUUCGGGUAUCGGCGAGGGAACUUGAAUUAGGGCAAGAAACGCAACGCUGUCGAUUUGGUCUCGAGGGUCAAGUGUGGUGCUUUGCACCUUUUUAAUUAAGAUUUACCAAAAAGGGGUCUUUUUUUUUUUUAUAUCGACACGAAAAAAGUUGAUUUUUUUUUUUUUUUUUUGGUAUACACGCAAAAAAUGAUUUUGACACGGCUUAAUUAGACAUUUGAUUGGGUAGCCUUGUAUUACCGUUUCUAAUCGAAGAGACUAAAUAUAGUCUUGUUCAAAAUUUUAGUCUGAUAAAAAAUUUCUUGUAAACUAUAAUUCUGAACAAAAGUUAUGUUUAGUUCAUUUGAUUGAAGAUGAUCUAACAAUAUAAGCGGUAAUAUAAGUUCUCAUAUUCCUCUUAAAGUAGAGAAGUUAUUGCUUUUCAAUAAAAAAAAUGUUUGUUUAUGACGGUAAUCUUAUCACAAAGUUACCAUGUUACUAAUUAAGAUGUUAUAAAAUGAAUAAACGAAUUAUACUUGGGAGUAUACUAGUAUUAAAAUUACUUACAUGUUAUGAGUGGAUUGUUAACACUAAACUCUAUUAUUAUAAUCACAUAUUAAUUAGUUUAUCUAUUGUAUUGGACUGCAUGGUCUACAAUUGGUCAUCAACCACUUGAUCUAAGUACCUAAGACCCAAAAUUGUUAUUUGGUGUUGGGAUCAACUAAAUUGAAGAUCAACUCAAACAAGUAAGGAAUUUUCUUCACAAUCAAUUAAAGAUGCUUUCAUCAUCAUUCCAAUAUAUUAUAUCCUAAUUAAAUAUCUUGGGGAAAUUCUUUCCUUAUUCAUCCUACUACGGAUGACACAACCUGACCAAUAGAAAGCUGCCCGUGUAAGCAAAAUCUUACACCUAGGCCGGCCACCUCCUUAAAAAUACUCUAUCUACAACAUUUAUUGGUAAACAUUGGCCACACACUUAAGAUCUAAUUAAUGCUCACUCUUUUUAGAGUUACUGAAUUAGGCAUCAGAGAUUCAUUGGCCAACCUCCCACCUCAUGGGCUCGUGAGGCUUUGAUUUUGAUCAAAGGUGUUUAUUAUUUUGUAAGUACAAAUUUGUCAAAAUUGAAGUGGGCAUAUUUUUAUUGCCAUAGUAGCAUCCUACGACAAUGAUGCAUAACAUAGCGCUACAUGAUGUGCACAAGACGCCAUUGUCAUAUUAGUUGCUCUCAGUCUUGGACCCAAGACGGUUUGCACAUUGGGAUCAUGUAACUUGUAUUUUGCAGUACCUGCAACUGAUUUUGUUUACAUGGAAGGUGGGCAAUAACCAAAAAUCCACUUUUAUUGGGUCCUGUGGACGGAAAUGGAUCAUCUCCGCAUCUUUUUCAUUAAAUCUACUAAAUUGGAGAUCCGGACUAUUGAAAUUUAAUCUAAUGGCUACAAACAGGGUCCAUUUUAAAAGUUAUAAUAAUGUUAGCCAUUUAAUCAAAUUUUAAUAGCCCGAAUCUCCUGAUUUGGUGAAUUUGGUGAAAGGGAUCCGUAGAUGAUAUUGCUGUAAAUAUUAUUAUUAAUCAUAGAUUCAUAGCUGUCCAUUUGGGGUUAAUAUGUAAGUAGUUAGAAUUUUUUUGUACAGUAAAUCAUACAAAUGAGAAGAAAAAAAAUAAACGCUUUGAUUUCUCCUUCUAUAAAGUAAACUUUAUAGGCUUCUAAUGAUAAAAUAAAAUAAAAUAAAAUCACUUUGAGUUCUCCUAAUCUCUCGUAUCCUUACAUUUCUCUGUACUCUUUUUUAUAUUUUAUUUCCAAAAUGUUAUCAGCAUAAAUGUUUCUUAAUUCUAUACUCUCUUUUUUUUAAAUUUUAAAUUCUGCUUUUUUUUAUAUUUUAUUUUCAACAAGCUUAUUCUCUUAGUUUUAGUUUUUAUCAAAUAGAUAAGAGAAUGGCACAAAACUACAAAAUCAAAUGAGUGCAGAAAGAACUGUUCUUUGAAGGAUUGUGCUCCCUAUACAUUUCUAACUAGAACUUUUGCACUGAUAACACCAAUUAUUUAUCCUUUAAUCCUACAUAUAUAUUUUUAAAUAUUUUGGCCUUAGUUGCAGAUUCAUUCCAAUGAAAAUACGUUGUAAUAUUCAUAAAUAUUCCAUGUUUUUUUUCCUUUAAUUUUCUGAAGUAUGUACUGUUUUUAAGGGCUCGUGCAUGAAACCCUAAAACUGGGACGAGGGUAGGACUGCGGCUCCGCCGAUACCUGAAAAAGGGUCCUCUGUCGAGCUGGAUGAGGAUGCUCAUAACAAACUGAUGAGCUACUUUCAUGAAUAAUGAUCUUAAUAUAUAAAAAACAAUGCUUAGUUAGGCCAAAAAGGUUGCCCGACUACGAAAAAGGAACCUUCGAUAACCAUCAUCCGAAGUCCUCGAUACUAAACCAGUAAGUUAAAGCAUCCAGAAAGCAAAAUCCUAACCAGAAGUUCCUUAAACAAGAGAUGGAUGGCAGUACAGUCGCAUCUCUACAUUAUCAAAAAAAGAAGAAGGCGGUGUUGAGAAUUAAGCUGCCUACUAGCAUUAAGAUCAAUCUGCAGAUGUUAAUCCUGCAGUUCAAAUUGAGAGGAAGCUGAGAAUCAAGAGAUGAACAACUUGCCAAUUUUAGAAAGGAGCCGUUGAGUUUGAAUUGCAACGGCUAGUUUCAUUUUCCAUUGUUAGAAAGUUCACAGCUGGUAUUUUUGUUUUAUUUAGUCGUACUAUGCAUUCUCAUCCCCGUCCAGAUGGAUGGAUGAGAUCCUCCAGAGCCCUUAGUGGCCGGAGAAGAGUACUAGAUCCCUAAAAUGUAGGAUUUGGUUUUGACCAAGUUGAGGGGCAUAUAGCCUUUGUAAUUUCAUUCUUGGAAAUAUAUGAAAUAUACAGACUCUUCCUCUCCUCCUUAUUCUCUCUCGAAAAUCACAGAUUCAUUGAAACAAUCUGUAAAAAGUUUCAAUCUUUACUAAGAUCAUUAAAUCUAUCAGGAUGCCUGGUACCAUUUCAAACAGGCGGGACUAUAUAUGAUCCCAAUCAGCAGCCUAAAAUAUCCCAGAAAGAAGAUUUGCAGCGGUUGAUAUGGCAGCUCCGGUGAUAGCGCCAUGCACAAUCUGCUCAUGGGACGAACCCUCCGAUGUGAGGGCCAGGGCCACUCCUGU
rnacentral:lncRNA from 1 species